GCUCCUAGGAAUGAACUCAAGGAAAGCAGGCCCGCUGGGCGAGGAGGUGGCUCCACCAGCUGGUGCCCCUAUAGAAAGCUGAGGCGGUGGGCUCAACAGCCCGCCCGCCACUCUGAGGCCGCCAAGGCCUGCAGUGCUCCGGGCCCCACGCAUCCCGCGUGUGCGGAAAGAGAUGCAAAGCAUUGACGGUCCUGCCACCCAAACGCAGGUUUGCACCUGAGGAGGCACCUGAGAAACUGGGUGAAGCGGGAAGGACCUCAGUCAUCCCCUAAAAACUCAAAUGCACAUAUUUUUCGCAACUCUUCAAUUUGCCGAGGGGUUCCUCAUGCCCCAGGUGUAGCCGGCGUCCCCAGUUCUAGGUUGGGAUUGGCAAACCUGGGGAGCACCCCGUCUUCGCCAGCAGGCAGCUAAGUGCAGGCGGCGAAGGCCGCGGGGGGCGGGCCCGCCCGCUGCCGGCGUUGGUCGCCCGCCCGCCAGCUCGCACUCGGUCGCGUCGCGGGGUAGGCAUGGGAGUCGCACGCGCCCUUCCGGCGCCCACACCUGUUGGAGCGGCGCAGUGAGCUGCGGCCCGGGCGGGCUGCUCGGCGCGGUUAGCAGGUCUGCACUCCCCCCCCUUGUGGGCGGUUUCUACUCAGGCAGCCAAUUCCUGGUUUGGAUCCCCCUGAGGACUCCAUGGACAGUGCUGGCAGCUCACGGACCUCCUCCUACCCACCGAACAAUGCCAAAGUGUUCUCAUGUUCAGUGGAAAAAGUGGGACCGGGCCAAGAAGACAGCUGAUUGCAAAUUCAUUUUCCAUGCAUGGAAUAAAUGGAAAAUGUCAAUGGAUCGUACAUCGUCCUUGGAAUUGAAGUCACAAAUGCGGCUACAGAAGCCCACGUGGUAUUGAAUAAACAAAUUCGUGGCUGGAAACAUGGUCCUCAGUCAUUACUUUUUCAAUUUCACAGAUGAGGUGGUGUGGGAGUCAUUCUUCAGGUUUCUGAAACUGGAGAAAAGCCUCCUCUCCUCACCUCCUACAUGGCCUCCU
rnacentral:lncRNA from 1 species